CGCGAAGAACCUUACCUAACCUUGACAUAUUUAAGAACUCCGUAGAGAUACAGAGGUGCCUUCGGGAGCUUUCUUACAGGUGCUGCACGGCUGUCGUCAGCUCGUGUCGUGAGAUGUUGGGUUAAGUCCCGCAACGAGCGCAACCCUCGUCACUAGUUACUAACGGUUCGGCCGAGGACUCUAGUGAGACUGCCUUCGCAAGGAGGAGGAAGGUGAGGACGACGUCAAGUCAUCAUGGCCCUUACGGCUAGGGCAACACACGUGCUACAAUGGCCAGGACAGUGAGACGCGAUACCGCGAGGUGGAGCAAAUCUAUAAACCUGGUCUCAGUUCGGAUUGUAGUCUGCAACUCGACUACAUGAAGCUGGAAUCACUAGUAAUUGUAGAUCAGCUAUGCUACGGUGAAUACGUUCCCGGGUCUUGUACUCACCGCCUGUCACACCAUGGGAGUUGAUUUCACCCGAAGCGGGGAAGCUAAACUGGCUACCCUCCACGGUGGAAUUAGCGACUGGGGUGAAGUCGUAACAAGGUAACCUUAAUUAAAA
rnacentral:rRNA from 1 species